rnacentral:rRNA from 1 species
ACCGGCGAUACCCGAAUGGGGAAACCCAGUGUGAUUCGUCACACUAUCAUUAACUGAAUCCAUAGGUUAAUGAGGCGAACCGGGGGAACUGAAACAUCUAAGUACCCCGAGGAAAAGAAAUCAACCGAGAUUCCCCCAGUAGCGGCGAGCGAACGGGGAGGAGCCCAGAGCCUGAAUCAGCAUGUGUGUUAGUGGAAGCGUCUGGAAAGGCGCGCGAUACAGGGUGACAGCCCCGUACACAAAAGCGCAUGUGCUGUGAGCUCGAUGAGUAGGGCGGGACACGUGGUAUCCUGUCUGAAUAUGGGGGGACCAUCCUCCAAGGCUAAAUACUCCUGACUGACCGAUAGUGAACCAGUACCGUGAGGGAAAGGCGAAAAGAACCCCGGCGAGGGGAGUGAAAAAGAACCUGAAACCGUGUACGUACAAGCAGUGGGAGCCCCACCACCAAAGCAUUCUCUGGUGUUGAAGGCCCUGCAAAGCAGCAUCGCGGUGGCGGAGCGUCGUUUGCGACGCCCAACACACAAAACAAGCGGUGAGUGCUUUGGGGUGGGGUGACUGCGUACCUUUUGUAUAAUGGGUCAGCGACUUAUAUUCUGUAGCAAGGUUAACCGAAUAGGGGAGCCGGAGGGAAACCGAGUCUUAAUUGGGCGUUAAGUUGCAGGGUAUAGACCCGAAACCCGGUGAUCUAGCCAUGGGCAGGUUGAAGGUUGGGUAACACUAACUGGAGGACCGAACCGACUAAUGUUGAAAAAUUAGCGGAUGACCUGUGGCUGGGGGUGAAAGGCCAAUCAAACCGGGAGAUAGCUGGUUCUCCCCGAAAGCUAUUUAGGUAGCGCCUCGUGAAUUCAUCUCCGGGGGUAGAGCACUGUUUCGGCUAGGGGGCCAUCCCGGCUUACCAACCCGAUGCAAACUGCGAAUACCGGAGAAUGUUAUCACGGGAGACACACGGCGGGUGCUAACGUCCGUCGUGAAGAGGGAAACAACCCAGACCGCCAGCUAAGGUCCCAAAGUCAUGGUUAAGUGGGAAACGAUGUGGGAAGGCCCAGACAGCCAGGAUGUUGGCUUAGAAGCAGCCAUCAUUUAAAGAAAGCGUAAUAGCUCACUGGUCGAGUCGGCCUGCGCGGAAGAUGUAACGGGGCUAAACCAU